GAGACAGAAAGAGAAAGAGCUUUCAGCGGAGAGCUGGAAGUGAUGGGAGGAGGGACCCAGGUUCGGGUCAGAGCCUCCACAGACUCUCACCCUCUCAUCUGCCAUCUACCUAGCUGCACACUCAGAAAGUAACUCCUACCCACCUGUGACUGAUGGAGCGGUGAAGAAGUUGGCUGGAAAACCACUGACCUGUUCCUUCUGUCCGAGGAGUGCCUUCACCUGACACAGCAGUCACAGCUCUCUGUGUCAGCCCCUUAGGGGCCCAGCUGCCCUCAGAAAGGGGGAAAGGAUAUUAAACAGCUGAGAAAAGUCUCCUUCCUCCUCACUUAACCCUGCCUGAGAUUGCUGCCUGAAGCUGCCUUUAACCACGGUUUGUGCUGAAUUGUGCUCGGAAGGACAGAGACGCCGGCAGCACAACUUGCAGUCAGAAUCCUGGUUCAGCUGCAAACUGGGCCACACCGCAGCUGCAGACCUUGCCGGUUUUGUGUGUCAGAAGCCCUCUAUUAUUAUUUCUAGUGCGGUGGAUGUGCUGCACUAAAGCAUGCAUCAGGCAAAAAAUUUAUCUCUUUUAAAUCUUCUGUCCACUGACUCACCUGUCACUCACCUGUCCAUAAGUGCCAGGGAAGGAAACUGAGACAGGGAAUUGGGAAUGGCCAUGGAGGAAUUUCUGCGGAGCUGGACUGGGCAGCACUGGCUGGCUGCACUCAGUUGCCACUUCUAAAGUCCAUGGAUAUCCCUUGAAAAAUCCAGAAGUUAUUGUACAUUUGAGCAACACUGACUUACCACUAAAAAUCUGCACUGCCGUGGGACAAAAUGUAAAUAUUUCUAUGUAUUUGAAGCAUACAGAUCUUCUGAGUAUCAUGAUGUCAGCUGUACCUCACGGUAUAGCAGCUUGGCAAAGUCUGUGACACAUAUCCAUACGAUACAGCUUCUGUACUAGAGAUUCUGAGUCAGGAUCACAGCCUGUGUCUUCAGCUGUGAAAAGCACUUCAUUUCCCAUCUACUCAGCAAGUGUUUCCAGUGACAUGUGCUAGAAGAUACUACAAGCGGGCUUUUCUCAUGCCUCAGCGGCAAGGUUUACAUGAAUUGAUACAGUUUUAUCAUGUUUUUGUCCUGUCAGAAUGCAGGGCGAAAUUAUAAAAGCCUCCCCCUCUCCCUGCGUGCACGUACAAAUUGGCCCGAUGCAGUGGGAUCUACAGAGGCAGCCGAGCUGGAUGACUCUUGGUGUGAAAGCCUGUCUGCUGGCUGGCCGCUGUCUAUGAAAGCAGGGGCCUUUGAGGUGUCUGUGAGCCAGCCUUAGUGUCAUCCCCCAAGAUGUGCUGCCAUGCUCACCUCCAUAAAGGGCAGGGAAAGUUGUGUAUCAUACAAAGAUGAUGGAGGGAAUUUCUUUUAUUUGUACUACUUGGCUAAUGUAAUAUUUUUGUGGGAUUGUUUUACCUCCAAUUGAUUAUAUUCAUUUCCUUUGGGCUUUAUGCCAGUUUUAAAGGCAGAUUAUAAAAUGCAUACUUUUUUGGUUCAUGUAUCCAGGCAAAUUAAUAAAUAGACAAAACUGCUGCUUUAAGUCUGACAACCCACCCUGGUUAAAGGAUUGGAACUUGAGGCAAUUCAUGCUGUUCCUGCCCACCCCAUUACUAUGCAUCCCAACUGGGGAGGUUGCUUUUAAGAAAUGAUAGUCAAAGUGGCUUCCUACUUAAAGGAAAUGGUACAUGCAAUAAUUAGACAAAUGAGAAAGACCAUAGGCAGUCCUGCACAAGUGGCAGAUUCACAAAGAUAACCUGAUGGUCUCUUAACAGUCAUCACUUGAAGGAAAAAAGAUCUCAGUAUGGUUUUGUGUCUGCAUUCCUUGUUAGGGAAAAGUGAAACAAGGUUUCUAAACACAUAAUAUUUCCUGUGCCUAUGUCAGAGUUUAUAUGAUAUGUGCAAUGAUUUUACAGUAAAAUAAAGUGAAAGAUACAUUAUGAAAAAACAGCAUUCGUUUUAGUGAGACUAUAUCUUUCAUAUUUUUGCUUUUAAAACUUGAAGCAAGCAAUACACAUAUUUGGCUAGCCCUAAUUUUGCAGUAAAUUAAAUGAUCAGACAGAGAAAAUAAAAAAAAAUGGUCA